ACUGCAGGACACUGCUCUUGAGGACUGGAGUUGGUGUUAUUCCAGAGAGUUAAAUUUAAGCAACUCUUUCUGGUUUUGAAAUCAACACCAGACAUUUUUUUUCUUCAUUAAUAUGUCAUAUUGGUGACUUAACCUGUAAUGAUGACUUCAACACAUUUCUUCAGAAAGGUGAUAAAAAAAUGCUCUCCAAGUUAAACCAGGCCACAAGAGGAAUCCAAAAUGGCUCAUGACAAGCUGUGGACCAUGUUGUCAGAUACAGUAUGUGCAGCAUUUUGUCAAAGAUGGGAGCCAUUAUUGAAGCCUUCCUUGUUGGUGUGAAACCAGGACAGCCCUUACUCCUGCUGUUGGUGAAAACAAGCAGCACUGACGACACUUCACCUUCAGGGAUCACAAGACCAUUCAUGGCCACUUUCGAUGAUCUUUCAAACCACAUUACAUUUUAAGUGCAAAGUACUGUGACUUCCUCUACAACUUCUGUAUGUUAAUUCAACCUACAGUUUUCAACAUUGAUGGGACUUUUGCAUCACAGUUGAGGAGAUGAAUAUCCUUGCUUUUAUUUUGCCUGGCAGAAUGGACACUUUUUAUUAUGAUGAUCAUUUAAACAUUUUCUGUAUCAAAAAGAGGAUUUGUUUUAUGUUCUUCCAAUUAAGAACUUGGUUUAUUACAGUCUCUAUGGAAAGCAGUUUUCUGAAAUGUGUGGGAAAGAAAACAUG